ACGGGAGGCAGCAGUGGGGAAUAUUGGGCGAUGGGCGCAAGCCUGACCCAGCAACGCCGCGUGAAGGAUGAAGGUUUUCGGAUUGUAAACUUCUUUGACUGAGGACGAUAAUGACGGUACUCAGAAAACAAGCCACGGCUAACUACGUGCCAGCAGCCGCGGUAAUACGUAGGUGGCGAGCGUUGUCCGGAUUUACUGGGUGUAAAGGGCGUGUAGGCGGGGGAGCAAGUCAGAUGUGAAAUACCGGGGCUUAACCACGGAGCUGCAUUUGAAACUGUUCUUCUUGAGUGAUGGAGAGGUAAGCGGAAUGCCUAGUGUAGCGGUGAAAUGCGUAGAUAUUAGGAGGAACACCGGUGGCGAAGGCGGCUUACUGGACAGUAACUGACGCUGAGGCGCGAAAGCGUGGGGAGCAAACAGGAUUAGAUACCCUGGUA
rnacentral:rRNA from 1 species